rnacentral:rRNA from 1 species
UACGUAGGGCGCAAGCGUUUAUCCGGAUUUAUUGGGGCGUAAAGAGCGUGUAGGCGGCUUUACAGGUCCGUUGUGAAAGCUCGAGGCUCAACCUCGAGACGCCGGUGGAAACCGUAAGGCUAGAGUCCGGAAGAGGAGAGUGGAAUUCCUGGUGUAGCGGUGAAAUGCGCAGAUAUCAGGAGGAACACCCGUGGCGAAAGCGGCUCUCUGGGACGGUACUGACGCUGAGA